ACUCAAAUGAAUUGACGGGGGCCCGCACAAGCGGUGGAUUAUGUGGAUUAAUUCGAUGCAACGCGAAAAACCUUACCUGGCCUUGACAUGUACCGGAUUUGGAAGAGAUUCCUUAGUGCUCGAAAGAGAGCGGUAACACAGGUGCUGCAUGGCUGUCGUCAGCUCGUGUCGUGAGAUGUUGGGUUAAGUCCCGCAACGAGCGCAACCCUUGCCAAUAAUUGCCAUCAUUCAGUUGGGCACUUUAUUGGGACUGCCGGUGACAAACCGGAGGAAGGUAGGGAUGACGUCAAGUCCUCAUGGCCCUUAUGGCCAGGGCUUCACACGUAAUACAAUGGCGCGUACAGAGGGUUGCCAACCCGCGAGGGGGAGCCAAUCCCAGAAAGCGCGUCGUAGUCCGGAUUGCAGUCUGCAACUCGACUGCAUGAAGUCGGAAUCGCUAGUAAUCGCGGAUCAGCAUGUCGCGGUGAAUACGUUCCCGGGCCUUGUACACACCGCCCGU
rnacentral:rRNA from 1 species